rnacentral:rRNA from 1 species
AUUGAACGCUGGCGGCAGGCCUAACACAUGCAAGUCGAGCGAGCGGCGGACGUGUGAGUAAUGUAUGGUGCCUGCCUUAUGGCGGGGGAUCACUACUGGAAGCUGUAUCUUAUACCGCAUUCCCUCAGAUCACCCAUCUGGGAUUCGCUUGUAGGUGAGGUCACGGCUCACCUAGGCGACGAUCCCUAGCUGGUCUGAGAGGAUGAUCAGCCACACUGGGACUGAGACACGGCCCAGACUCCUACGGAGGCAGCAGUGGGGAAUAUUGCACAAUGGGCGCAAGCCUGAUGCAGCCAUGCCGCGUGUAUGAAGAAGGCCUUAGGGUUGUAAAGUACUUUCAGUCGGGAGGCGUUACCGACAGAAGAAGCACCGGCUAACUCCGUGCCAGCAGCCGCGGUAAUAC